GAACGAAACAAUGUAUGACAGAAAGCUUCUCCGUAACUGGAGAAACUUCCUAAAAGCAAAAGGUGCUGGCCGGAGAAGCUGGAGUGUCCGCCAUAUGCCGCAUAUGCUGCAGAAGGACUCCAGCAGUUGUGGGGUCUUGGUUUUGAAGUUUGCAGAAACAUAUGUUCAAAUGGGAGGGCUGCAGUCAGUGCAAACAGGACCCAAAGACAUAUCCCAAGCCAGACUGCACAUCGCUACCACACUGUAUCAACAU